rnacentral:rRNA from 2 species
UAUGACGUUAGCGGCGGACGGGUGAGUAACACGUGGGCAACCUGCCUGUAAGACUGGGAUAACUUCGGGAAACCGAAGCUAAUACCGGAUAGGAUCUUCUCCUUCAUGGGAGAUGAUUGAAAGAUGGUUUCGGCUAUCACUUACAGAUGGGCCCGCGGUGCAUUAGCUAGUUGGUGAGGUAACGGCUCACCAAGGCAACGAUGCAUAGCCGACCUGAGAGGGUGAUCGGCCACACUGGGACUGAGACACGGCCCAGACUCCUACGGGAGGCAGCAGUAGGGAAUCUUCCGCAAUGGACGAAAGUCUGACGGAGCAACGCCGCGUGAGUGAUGAAGGCUUUCGGGUCGUAAAACUCUGUUGUUAGGGAAGAACAAGUACGAGAGUAACUGCUCGUACCUUGACGGUACCUAACCAGAAAGCCACGGCUAACUACGUGCCAGCAGCCGCGGUAAUACGUAGGUGGCAAGCGUUAUCCGGAAUUAUUGGGCGUAAAGCGCGCG